GAUGAACGCUGGCGGCGUGCUUAACACAUGCAAGUCGAACGGAAAGGCCACAGCUUGCUGUGGUACUCGAGUGGCGAACGAGUGAGUAACACGUGGGUGAUCUGCCCUGUACUUCGGGAUAAGCUUGGGAAACUGGGUCUAAUACCGGAUAGGAAUCACAUGUGGGUGUGUGGUUGGAAAGCUUUUGCGGUAUGGGAUGAGCUCGCGGCCUAUCAGCUUGUUGGUGGGGUAAUGGCCUACCAAGGCGUCGACGGGUAGCCGGCCUGAGAGGGUGUACGGCCACAUUGGGACUGAGAUACGGCCCAGACUCCUACGGGAGGCAGCAGUGGGGAAUAUUGCACAAUGGGCGCAAGCCUGAUGCAGCGACGCCGCGUGGGGGAUGACGGCCUUCGGGUUGUAAACUCCUUUCGUCAGGGACGAAGCGAAAGUGACGGUACCUGGAUAAGAAGCACCGGCUAACUACGUG
rnacentral:rRNA from 1 species